rnacentral:rRNA from 1 species
GACGAACGCUGGCGGCGUGCUUAACACAUGCAAGUCGAGCGGUAAGGCUCCUUCGGGAGUACACGAGCGGCGAACGGGUGAGUAACACGUGAGCAACCUGCCCCUGACUCUGGGAUAAGCGCUGGAAACGGUGUCUAAUACUGGAUAUGUACCACGAUCGCAUGGUCUGUGGUUGGAAAGAUUUUUCGGUUGGGGAUGGGCUCGCGGCCUAUCAGCUUGUUGGUGAGGUAAUGGCUCACCAAGGCGUCGACGGGUAGCCGGCCUGAGAGGGUGACCGGCCACACUGGGACUGAGACACGGCCCAGACUCCUACGGGAGGCAGCAGUGGGGAAUAUUGCACAAUGGGCGCAAGCCUGAUGCAGCAACGCCGCGUGAGGGAUGACGGCCUUCGGGUUGUAAACCUCUUUUAGCAGGGAAGAAGCGAGAGUGACGGUACCUGCAGAAAAAGCGCCGGCUAACUACGUGCCAGCAGCCGCCGUAAUAC